rnacentral:siRNA from 1 species
GCAUUGGGGGCGCAACGCCCUC